AACGAACGCUGGCGGCGUGCCUAACACAUGCAAGUCGAACGUGAUCCAGAGCUUGCUCUGGUGAAAGUGGCGCACGGGUGAGUAACGCGUAGAUAAUCUGCCUGAUGAUUUGGGAUAACACUUCGAAAGGGGUGCUAAUACCGGAUAAGCCCACGGAGUCCUUGGAUUCUGCGGGAAAAGGAGGGGACCUUCGGGCCUUCCGUCAUCAGAUGAGUCUGCGUACCAUUAGCUAGUUGGGAGGGUAAAGGCCUACCAAGGCGACGAUGGUUAGCUGGUCUGAGAGGAUGAUCAGCCACACUGGAACUGAGACACGGUCCAGACUCCUACGGGAGGCAGCAGUGGGGAAUUUUGCGCAAUGGGGGAAACCCUGACGCAGCAACGCCGCGUGAGUGAUGAAGGCCCUUGGGUCGUAAAGCUCUGACAGAGGGAAAGAAAUGUGGGUGGCUAAUAUCCAUUCCACUUGACGGUACCCUCAAAGGAAGCACCGGCUAACUCCGUGCCAGCCGCCGCAGUAACAC
rnacentral:rRNA from 1 species